GAUUGAAGAAGAGGUAGAGAUGAGCCCUGGCCCCUGGCUUCCUUCGGAGCUCUGAGUGUUUCUUUCUUAUCAAAUUUUUUUCUCAGUUGAAUUUCUUCAAAAAAAAUUUGUACAGAAGUAGCGGAUCGAUCAUGGUAAUGGUGAUGCUGGCCGUGAAUUGGAGAUUCUACCGACGUUGAGAUCGGUGUUUCUAGAUCUGCAAUUUUGCAGGAGUCGGGCUUCGAAUUUCUGCGUAAUUUGGCCCCUUUUUUUCAACAAUUUGUGCAGAAUGGUGGAAUUGGACAGCAAGGUGGCAAAAGCCUACCUUCGAUUUGAAAGUGAAUGGGCAAAAAUUUUGCUGCUCCUUAGAUCUGCAAUUUCACUAUCAUUUCUCCCUAAAAUUUGUCCAGAAAUGAUAAGGUUCCAAGUUCAGAGUGUAAGUUAUUCUCCAGUUCCAGUUGAGCAACCAAAAGAGUCAAAGCCAUUUGCCCCUAUGGUGAUUUUGGGAUCACUUGAUUAUGAUGGUUUAAGUCCUGUUUCAUGGUGGUGAUCUGUUAAAAGAAAAGGGAGAAGCAUCAGGAACAGUAAAGGAAAUCAUACCCCUAGCUUGAUUUAAAUUUUCUUAUCAUAGGAGAUAAAUAUUAAAUUUUAGAAACAGUUUCUCAUUUUGAUUGGAAGGGGAAACUGCUAUUGACGUAGCUCUGGCUUUGGUCAAGAAGAAAUAUCAUCAGCCGUGGAAAUUUUGCUCAAA